GGAACUGAGACCUGAUUGGAUCACUGGCUUUCCGGCUUAAUGAAGCCGACCGAGUGUCGUCAGAACUGCGGGAGGACAUUUUGGAAGCGGAAUCUUCCGUGUAAUCAUCCUUCCUCUUGGAGCCUCACCUCUGCCCUUACCCUAGGCCACCUGCAGCAGAUGUUUCCCUGAAGUCCUGUGCUCACAACUAUCAGAUGGCAGCAAAGGGAACAGCUGCAGCAUGAAGAUCCUGGGCUGCAGUAUUACCGCCGAAACCCCUACCUACUCUCGUUUCCCACCCCUUUCCCCUUGCUCCAUCUGUGUAAUGAAGGCUCCGCGUUGGGGGAGAGGGAGCCAGGCGCUACAAGGGGCAAGGACGGGCGUGGGCACCGGAGGAAGGGUAUAGGGAAGGGCGUACGAAAAGGUGGCUCAGGAGCGCCGGGAAAAGAGCCUCCUGGCAAGUAGGUCAGGAGGGACGCGAGUGGGACGCAAGGUGACGUCAGGAGAAGGCGGUGUGAAGAUCGGCGUGGCUAUAAAACCCAGGCGCAGGCCCAAGGCCACACUGAACAAAGAUGGCGCUCCUGUUGUUUUUCUGCUCUUGGUGUAGUCCUGCGCCCCCGGCGAUGGCGCGCUGGUCACCCACUCGUCCUGUUUUGGUGGGGAUGGAGGUGGCCUUAACUUGGCCAGCUGGGACAGGCACCUUCCCUGGGAAGAGGUUCUAGUAGACCCACAGGCAGAGCCAGCCGUCCUGCACAUAGACACCCACCACCAUGCAACUUCCAAUACUUGAGGCACCCAGGUAGAACCUCCAAAAUGAAUGUCUGCUUCUAGUGGGUGUCUGGAAGAGAAACAGGUCGGGAGGGGGUUGCUGGCCAGGGCCAUAGGGCAGCAGUCUCCAGAUACGGGCACUGGAGGCCACUAGAGGGCUGAAAACACGGUGCAAAGUCAAGGUGGGGUGCCACCCCCACCGUUAGGGAACAGCUGUUAUCACACCCUCCUAGGGCAGUCAGCAGGGCCCACAGUGGUCAGGACCUGCUCCUCAGAGUCCACCCCCAGGAAUCGAUCCCACAGGUUCUCCUGGGUGGUGGUGACAGCAGGUUAGGUAGACAGAAAUAAACACGGAAAACAAUGAGGCAUUAAAAAGAACACAGCAAGACCUAGAAGUGCUUUCACAUGGGGUCCUUAAAUUCCCAGCAAAGAAAGCAAAUGGUGGGUGCCAGGAGCUGGGGUGGGAGUUGUUUAAUGGGGACAGUUUCAGUUUGGGAAGAUGGCAGUCCUGGAGAUGGAUGCACAACAAUGUGAGUGCACAUCAUACCACUAUUCACUUGACAAUGGUUAAGAUGGCAAAUUUUAUGUCGUGUAUUUUACAAUAAAAAGAGAAAGCUCCUAUAAAUGUUGUAGAAAAAGAUGUAACCACCCCCACCCCCAAAGAAGCAAGCAAGCAAAGUCCUUGUAAAGGCUGAUCAAACAUACAAGCCAGAUGGAGGUGACCAGGUCACAGGAAGAGUUACAUUCUCUCUGGGGAGGGAACUGGUAUUGGGGAGACUGACUUUUCACCACUUACCCUUUGGGAGUUUGUGGUUUGUAACCUAUGUGUGUCAUGCAUCAUCUACUCAAAAAGUAAUUAAGUUUUUGAAAAUAAUUAGAAAAAAAGAAUAAUGUUGCCAGCAUAGCAAUGAGAAAGGCUGGUGGGGGUGGUGCUGUUGAGUUUUUCCUGAAAGUAAUUUGGAAAUGAUUAGAAAACCUAUUUUUCAUGCCUAUUAAUCCAGCAAUUACACUUCUAGGAAUCUAAGGAAGCCAUCCAAAAUGCAGCAAAUAUCCACAUACAUGAAGUUCAGGGCAAUGGUAUGUCAGUGGUGGAAAUGGUAUGAACAAAAUUUCGACAAGGGAUUGCUGGGUCAAUACCACCUUUCUUCAUGGGUCAGAAAAUAGCAAAGCAAUGGGAUCACCUGAGGAAAUCUGGACAAGCCACAGGAACUGGGGGAGCCUCUGUCUCCACAAAUGUGAGUGGGACUAUCUGGGAUAGUUUUUUUCUAGCUCUUUUUGGAUUGCAGGCUACCCAGAAUUUAUGGGUAAUCAGAACCGGCAGUUCUCCUUUAUUAAGACCUUUAGACUAGAAAAGUAGUGCUUUAAGGAGACUUUUUAUUGUCUUCAAAAAGUAGACUCUGUAGCUCUGUAUUCAAGUUGGGUAUUUUGAUUGGUUUUUACCUUUCCCUGUUCACAGCCAAUAAAUCUAAUUUUCCCUUUAUUUUCAUAAAGAACACCUUACAAUAUUUUUUUCAAGCAAAAUCUUAGUAUUUCUAAGCAAAAACUAAUCAGUAUGUCUUGCAUAUUUAUGUUGAUUUUACAUAUCUUCUUAGCUUAAGUCUCCCCGAAGCGACUGUUUCAUUGAUUUGUGACUCCCAACACCUAGAACAACGCCUGUAUUUAACAUGCACUAGAAAGAAUAGAUCAAUUUCAUUCCCUCGGAUAGAAUAGAGGUGGGGGGAAAUGUUGAUGUCCGAUUUUGCCUUCAGCUAAUAUUCCUAUAUGUAAAAAAGCAUGUUUCUCAAGAGGAUGUGGCUUGUUCGCUGUUGUAGCCUUACAAUUUGGUGCUGUUGUAUCCCUGCAUGUGGUAAUGAUCUACUUUCUGUAGAAGUCAAGCCUAUUCUUAACAUAAAUUAUGAUUACUAUUUUCCAUAUCACAUUUUAUAUACAUAUACCUCUUGAAAAUUAGCAGGCUACUCAGGCAUUUUUUUCAAUUUAAACUAUGGCUCUGUCAAACUCCCAGCUCAACAAACUGCUUUGGGAAUUUCUAAGUACAUUCUACUCAAGAAGUUGUGCUCUUCAACUUAUCUGAAAUCAAGAGCAGAUUAAUACGGUUGAUAGUUUUAAGCACUUAUAACUCAGCUAUUAGCUAAUAAUAAGAGGUUGAGAUAAAAGCAAACAAAAGGCAAACCCAAUAUAAAAUAAAUGUGUCUACUUAUGGAAAAGAAUAAUUUAAGAAAAUAAUUCAUUAAAAAGAUUUACUUUCUGCAAAUCAUAGGGAAAAGUGCCUCUUUAGCAAUCAACCUAGACUAAAUCUACACAGCACCCUAGUACUUACAGCUAUAACCAAAAAGUUAAAGACAGUGUAGUCUGUGUAACAUGCCCUUACAUCUGAGGUGAGCAAAACUUGCAUUUAACC